UUCCUCUAGCACAGAGAAUUCUGAGCAGUAGGAAACACUGUGAUGAGAAGCAAUGCUCUACUGCUCCCCUAGAAAUGUUCAAAAGUAGACCCAUUUUUGAGAAUUAAAAUUGCAGUUUGCCUAUUUUUAAGAUUAUUAUUCUUCUGGUUAACAACUGCAUAUAGCACUUUAGUUAAAAGUGAGUAACUAUAGAGGGUUAAGAUAGAAACUGGACCAUGCAUCAGAGGUUCUUCAAGUGGAGAAGGCACUUCCAAAGGCCUUGGGGACCUCCACUGAAACCUCUGUGGCCACUAGAAUAACGUGUUUUGUUAUUAAAUCCACCUUUUAUUAAAGUAGCCACCCAGCUCAACCGUUGCUUCAUUUCUGAAUUGGCAAGUUUCCUGAAGAACAGGACAGGUGUAUAAUACCUGUUGCUUUAAUAAAACAACUGCAAACACUAAUAUCUAUGAAAGUGUCUGCUGAGGAGCAAAGCUUUUGUGCCAGAAAAAAGUUGAAGAAAAAUAGGACAUAGUACUCUUGCUUUGUCAUAGAUCCUGGGCUGCAAAUUUGAAACUGCAAUACUGAAGUUGAUUCUGAAGUUCAGGUACAUAAUUUUUUCUCUGAUGAAGAACUCUAAUGUGAAAUAAAUGGUCUUGGAUUAUCAAAAUCUGUUCCUCAUGCAUUGCAUUGAUCCCAUUUUCAUUAUUGGUAGUUUAUGCAUUUCUGCCCCAAGCUGCUCAAAAAAGUGUUACAUGCACACUGUUGAAGAGUAAGAACCAGUUUACACAAAUGGUUCUCCCUUAGUUACACAUCAAGACUUGAGCAUCUUCUCCAUUUUCUUAUGCAACCUUAAACAGGCUGAUAAACCUUCAUGUAAUAUGAAUGCAUUUGAACUUUUUUGGGGGGUGGAGGAAGGUCUUAAAUCUCAAGAUAUCUGAAAAAUCGUGAGACUAAGAACAUGAAUUUUUAAAGUUAAUUUUAUUUAAAUGGAUUUCAGAAGCUACCUUGGGACCUUGAAAAAUUCCAUAACUUCAUUCCAUAAAUUCGUGCAAAACAAUGAGAUUAAAUGUUUUUAAUGUAUCAUCAUAAUCUGUCUGUGCUUUAUUUGCUGUUCUGUGAACCACUCACUGUGACAGGUAGAAAAUCUUGUGACUUUUCACUGCAGAUGACCUAUGGUUCCAAGUUCUACCUUGAGAAAAUUUCUAAUAGAUAUUAAUAAAAUUAAAAAACUUUAAGGUAAGCUAUAGAGGACACAAAGAAGUGCUACACAAAGGCCAUAAAUUGAGUCCACAGGAAUUAGCUCAGUGGCUGUAAUGUGUCUCCCAUAGAAGACUGGCAGUAUUGGCUGUUCAUCAGGGACUGCCAAAGAUGGUGCAAAGAUGAAGGUGGGACCACGCUACCUGCAGCAAGGAGGGCAGCUGCGUUGUCAGCUUGCAGGUAAAUCCCUGCAGGGUGACGUGGAACCGCAGCCUUGUAUGUGUAGCUGCUUCAUGGUUUUCCACAUCCAGCUUAGGUAUGUACUGCUGAAAAUAUGAACUUUGUGCUGUCUGUGGAGAAACCUGUUUAUCUGCAUGGAAUAUCAGCUUUGAAUGAUUUAAUGCAUAAAUGAAAAUGUAAGACAUUCAAGUCUGUGUAUUGUCAUGACAGAGAGAGUCUUACCUUGUACUGCAGAUAAGUAUUACUGCAACAGAGAACUACACUUCAGGAAAUCUGAAGAUACAGUGACAGGCUUAUUAUAACUGAUGUGUGUAUAUGCUUUUAUGCUUUUGAUCACAUAGAUUUUGUUAAAGUGGACCAAUAUAAGCCAAAUUCAUAAGACAUUAACCAGUAUGACAGGUCUUUUCUUUUAAGUAAGUUUUGCACAUGGAGAACUGCAGCGCUGAACUUAAAACCAGCCAGGAAAGGUAAGGCAAAUCUAUUUAGGGAUGUAAAUUCAGCUUCCAAUAAAUUAAAGUGCAUUAAACCACCUUUGUGUGGUUUAGUUCCUUCAGGGGUAGAGCAGCUGAAGACUUGCUCAAGGACUGAAUUCACUUCUUGUCAUUGAUUGCUCUUAAAUUUCAUGAACUUUAGACAAACCCUGAGAUGAGAUAACAAAGGUUCAAAUGUGUGUCUAGUCUAUUCUGAUUUGACACAUUCAAGGGAAGAGGAGAAAUUCUUGCCAAAUGACUUGCCUAGGUAUGGUUUUAAAGUAUAUGACUCAGGUAUACCUUCAGUAUACUGAAGUAAGGCCUCCUGCUGCAAUAGCUGAAACUCCUAGCAGCAAUGGCACUUGCCUGAAGUAUAUUCCUCUAUCCUGGGACCAAUACUCAAUGUGGAAACCAUGGACAAAUCAGGGAAGAUACUGAAGUGCUUCCAAAGUAAUUAAAUGUAUUUAUCAAUAUUUUAUUAAUAUUUAGUUAUAUAUUAGCCUGGAGAAGAGAAGGCUUGGCGGAUCUUAUCAAUGUGUAUAAGUACUUGAUAGGAGGGAAUAAAGAAGCCAGACUCUUCUUAGUGGUGCCCAAUGACAGGCCAAGAAACAAUGGGCACAGACUGAAACGCAGGAAAUGCCAUUUAAACAUAAGAUGAAACUGUGUUUCUGUGAGAGCGGUCACUGGAACAGGUUGCCCAGAGAGGUUGUGAAGUCUCCAUCCUUGGAGAUAUUCAAAACCCAACUGGGGUGUUGGCCCUGACCAACCUGCUGUAGGUGACCCUGCUGUGAGCAGGGUGUUGGACUAGGCGAUCUCCCGAGGUCCCUGCCAGCCUCAGUGAUUCUGUGAAUUUGUGUAAGAGGAUGUUGUUAGUAAUCUGUUAAUGAAGAGAUAUGAACAAAAUUCCAAUCUAAAUUUCCUCUCCAGUCAUCUUAUUUACAGAACUAAAUUCAUUAAGCUGGUCUUUGUCAUUGAAUUAUCCUUUCUGUAAUACAGUGAAAGGGAUGGUUCAAAUGCAGGUAGUCCUUUUGAAUAACAACGGGAAAUUCAAAUGUUAUGCCUGAAAAUUCUUCCAGAAUUCAGGUGCUGAAAGAGUAGUCAGUAAUCUAGAAGCUGAUUUUAUCUUUGGUCCACCAGAAACUUUCUCUCCAGAUCUUUGCUAAUUUUUCAUUUUGGAUGAUUUAUGAUAUACUCCUUUUAACAAUACUUUCUGUCAUCUUUUUUUCCCCCUUGCUGAUUCCAGAAUGCUGGAAUAUGUUAAAAAGUGAAUUUAACCAUAAAUGACUUCAGCAUUUCCAGUAGCCUUAGCAUUUUGCCCAAACUGACUUGUUUGACAUCUCUGUUCCAAUGUGCUGAAUUUGCUUUCUUGCUAAAUAAUCCAGAUGUUCAACAGCAGUUUAAGAAGAGCUGUAUCCACUUAAUGGAAGCAUGCAAAGAUCCAGAACACUGGAAACCAGCAGAACUCCUGAUUUUAUCUACUGUCCAUAUUUAUUCCUGUUCAUUAGUGUAUAUGCCUUCCCUCCCACCCCAGGUGCCACCAUGCAGAUGGCAUUCCCAGCAAAUCUGUUCAGAUUCACUGCGUUCUUGUCUGGAAGUGUUAACAGAUGACUGGGAAAGGGGAGGAAGAGGAGAACUAGCAUUACAUUUUUCAGGUCAAGUUCUGCCCUGAAUUCUGCCUGGUCAUCUCUGAGAGGUAUCAUAAGGAAACCAAAGUAAUAUUGCAUAUACCCUCCAGUUAAGACAGCUAUCAGCAACGGCGGCAGCUGAGGGCUGGUGCUCCCUCCAGCAGGCGGGAACUGUCCCCUGAACUGCCGCUGCGAAAUUUCAUCAAGUCCUCUGGCAGUGCCCUUUGCAUUUUACACCUGCUUUCCUACUGCCUUCAAAGGACUUCCGGAGCAGUUCUCCAGCAGCAUAGUCCAGAGCACCUGCAAUAUUUCGUAGUCACGUUUUUUGAAAUGAAAUCGAAUGCAGUGAGCCAGUGUGUUCAGCUGAAGCUCAGAUAGAAGGGAAAACAUGUAAUGCACAAGAAAGCAAGGUGACCCAGGGUAAGUACAUACUGUGGUAGCAAAAUGGAAACUGCUGCUGAGACAUCUGGUUACUGCUCCACUAAUGACACCAUUCGUGAGAAAGCAGAGCGAUAUGCCAGAAGGAAGAUGAAAAAAGAAGAAAAAGAAAAACUUCAAAACCCAUGAAACCGCUCCCAUCACCUGAAGCUCAGACCACACACCUGAAAGGGAGUAACCCGCAUCCAGCCCCAGUGCAGAAUACGUAUGCCCUUGCUUCCCUUUCAGCUCCGCCAUUUCGCAGCUGUCUUAUAUGAAGUGUACCUAAGAGGGGGAACUGCUCGCUUGUUUCCUGUUUUUUUAGUAAUUACAGUAACCUCUGGUAUUCAAAACCAUCAUGAGCUGCAGUGUCUCCUCGUAGCUCUGGCGUUACUGCGAUUUCUCUUUUGGUUGGUGCAACGUUUCCUUCGCUUCCCAGUUGCGGCUGAGGUGCUCCCACACGGCCCCCUGAAACAGCCACCCCACCACAGCUGUACGGGCAGCGGAUCUGCGAGCGAAUCUGUGACCUGCUGUGUCGUUUCAGUAGUCACGUAUGUGUACCGUCUGCCCUGUCUUUAGUUAAUCCGCAAGUCAAGAGCUAAUUGCAUACAACGCUCCGCUGUCAUCUGCGCAGGUUAAGACAUGCCCCGAAACCCCUGGUUUUAAGGAGUUACUAGAAAGACAAGAAAAUCUUCCCAAAUCAUAGAAUCGCUGUAAAUAUUAAACAACUAACUCGGAACAGGAACAAAUUGCUAACGGCCCUGUAUUGUAAGCACUAUUGUUUAAAGCCACUUCCAUCUCUCACUGACCCGAUGGAGGAGCAGCAGCAGCCAGCACUGGGGCAGGGGCAGCGGGACGGAAGGCUGCAGCGAGGGCGACACAGGAGCCUGCAUGACCUGCCACAGCCAUCCAUACCUGCAGUGCCUUCUCUUGUCCUUGUAUUGCUAUGGCUCCCUUUGCAAGGAGAAAUUGCAAUUUAGAAUAUCCUUCUGUUGUACACACAGUGCAACGUAUAUUUUUUUCUCUUCCAUGCUUUAUUAUAUGUUCUGCCAUCACUCCUUUGCCUAAAAAAACCCCUUUAAUUCUCUUCACUUCUUAAAACAGGUUAAUCUCCCUGAUGUUAGGGAAUGGAGAUAUUUAAUUAGGGGCUCUAAAGGAUUUCUGUAACUUGAGCAUGUAAAUAAAUGGAAAUAGUAUCAUAAUGUGGAGAAGACCAAAGACUUUUUGUGUAUUCCCAUACUAACAGAUCUUCUUUGAUGCAACAACAGAGCUGUUUUACCUUGUGUCAAAGUGUCCAGAAAUCUAAUGGAAAGGAAAUAAACUGAGAGAAAAUGUCUGACACAGAUCUCUCUCCAUUUUACCUAGAAAAUAUUUGCUGGAUACUUUUUCGUAUAGAUGCUAAACUGAUUUUUAUUUUAGAUGAGCUUGUUAACAAGGCGUCAAGAUUCUCAUAGAUAUAUAAAUUUUCUUACCUUAGAAAAUUUUCAUUGGUUUUCAUUUUAAAAUGACACCAGAAUGUACGGCAUAAGAGGAAAAAAAUAUAUUAAGAGAACAAUGCAAGAAUUUCCUGUAUGAAUAACUGUUGAAGGUGACUCUCUGCUCUUCACUGAAGCUCCUCAAGCUAUUUUAAAUAGUUUAACAACUGUUUUCUAUAUAGAAACUGUAUUAAUAACAAAAUUAUACUAUUUGAAAGAACAUCUUGUCAAACAAGAAUGCCAUAUUUAUGAUUUACCUUGAAUACCUACCGUCCUUGCACGCAGCAAUUGUAUUUUAUUUUAUAUUUGUUCUUGCAAUGCUUUCAUCAGCCCUAUGCUUCUGUGUAUCCUCCAGCAGUAUAUUAAGCAAUGUGAUUGAUAUCUGUCAUGAGUAGUUUAAUGCCUUCUUAAUUAGCCUAACACCUCUAUCAGAUUAAAAUCAGUAGUACAAUAUUACCAUGAACUGUAUGCUUUAAUUUCUGUGACACAUUUCUCUUUGUAAGGUACUUUGCAAAUCCCUUUCCUUUAGCAACACAGUAAGUCUAUCACUGUCCAAAGAGAAGAGACUAAUGAGACUAAUGACGAAGCUUUGUCGCAGUUUGACAGAUACUGCUACUAACUACAACCAGCAAAACAGAAAGAGGGGAAAGAAUUGCUUUAAAAUCAAUCUUGUCAUGUCAGAAUGAUCAGUUGGUUUCACCCUGCUGCAGUGAAGGCCUGCAGGUUUCCUAUGUCUGAACUUGUCUCAAAUACUUCUCAAAAGGUAAUGAAUUAUGGUCAAGGGAAAUAAUCUCUUCUGACAGGAAUAUCAACUCAUUUACUUUUCUAAGCCACUAUUUGCCUAAGUUGCAUUUAUUUAAGUCAGAGAUCUCAGGAUUAUUUGUAAAUUCAAAGCCUUCCAAACUCAGCAUAAAAAAAAAAAAGAAUGUCAAGGCUUCUUCCUCCUUUGAUGAAAGUCAUUAUGUUAACAUUGAAAAAUGUGAAGAACAUACCUGCUUAGUAUACUAGUCGUUAGACCUCAGCUAUCAAAUCCACAGGGACUCCCUAAACAGAAUAUAACAAAUUAAAUCGUUAUUAAUAAUGCACCAAAAAGUUAAUAUGCUCAUCUUAAUCACAUCAACAUCAAAGAAGGUAUUACAGCAACAGUCAAGGAGGGCACACUAAGUAAAACUAUGUUUUAAUAACUUAAUAAAUCUUGAAUAUAAGCAUAUUGCCAUCAAAGAUAAAACUGACACAUAGAUGUAUUUUUCAAGAAUUCUAUAAAGCUGCAGACCCUAACAGAUGACACUUUUUUUGAAUAAUUUUUCUAAUCCCAGCACUCAUCUUUUAUACAAAAUAAGUAACUAUGAUCCAAAAAACCCCAAAUAAAUUCUAUCAUGUGAGCUUUAAAACAUGAAUCUUUCUCCCUCCAAAACAUCCCUCAAACACCUAGUUCGUCUUUCUGAUGAAUGGUGAAGCUCCUGCUAGUAAGUUUAACAAUGCAGAAGCCUUCUACUCUCUGUAAUUAUGCAACUAAAAGCAUUUCAUAAAUUUCUGGCAUCCAUGACAAAAUCAGGAAAUUUAAACAGCAAUGUUUUUCUUAAGAAUUUAAAGUUUCCAAAUUCCUAGUUCACUUGCAAUCUAAAAUUGUUGAGAUGCUUUUGAAAGUCUCAAUGUCUUUUAAAACUUAAUAGGUAUGUAUUCCUCAUUUAAAAAUGUAUUGCCCUUAAAGCAGAAUCUUCACAACCAGGUAGUAUCAAAAUUUUUUUUUCAUUAUGCACAACUUUAGAAGUAUUGAUGUAAUAAUCCUAAUUACUUUGAAACAGUUAUAUAAAGAGGAUAUCCAAUGCUACUUUAAAAAUACAUGCUUGAUAAAAUUCUCAAGCCUUUUGUUGUUAUGUCAGCUUUAAAAAUCAGUAAAAACAACUAAAAAGUUGCAAACAACAGAGGAGAGGGAUAUAGGUAUGCAUAUUAGCUGACUGCGCAAUUAUUAAGUUGCCAGUGGGAUACAACGAUGAAAAAACCCCCUGCAAUCUAAGGAUGAACCAGUUAAGGUGUUUCUAACAGAAAACAAGAAACUACCUGUGUUGCUGUUUAAGGCACCUGAGAAAUCUCACACCGUUUUUUUUCCAUCAUGUUUGUGGAAGAUGAAACAGGUAAAGAAAAGAGCUGCUGAGAUUAUCAGAGAGAAGUCAUUCUAAGUGCAAGGCUGCAAAAUUUUUACUUCUUUAGUCUAGUAGAAACAAAAGCUGAUACAGGAAACAAUUAUUGUAUAAAAACACAAUAGGGUGGUAAACAGUAGGCAGGGAAAGGAGCUGUUUACUCUAACGGACAAUGUUGGCACAAGAACAAAUGGGUAUAAUUUGUCCAUGAAUAAAUUUUAGGCUGGAAAUGAGAAGGUUUAUGGCCAUAAAGACAGUGAGGUUCUAGAGUAGUUUUGUAAUACAAAUAGUGGGGACAAAAACCCAACAACUAAAGCUAUUUAAUAAUGAUGAUUGUUAAGUGGAAGAUGCUACAGGCAUAGUUGCCCAUAUAAGAAAAAAAACUGCAUUCUGAUGAUCCAGGAGGUAGUUUCUAGAGUUAUGUUUUGCUGUUUUCUGAAAGCAGAGGUAAAAAAAGUGAAAUUAAAUUAUAUUUAUGCAUACAGUGUCAGAAAUACUGCUCAGGCAAAUGCCAUCCAUAUGUAAAUGAUCUCUAUAACUAAGUUUGUGCUUUGCAACAGGAAAACAAUUUAACUUGAUAAAUAGGUAUCACAUUGUUCUUUGGUGGUUAGAAGCUAAUUCCUUUUAAUGGAAAGAUGCAAUUUGUCACAUGCUAAUUUCCUUGCUUCUUUACAGUGUACCUUUCUACUAUUUUUAUUUUGCCUCAUCUUCUUUCAGUCUCUUAAGUUCUAGAAAACUGUUUCGUCAGCAUAUGUGGACAGCAAUGGGAGACAGCUGGAAAAUAAUGCCUGCCUAUUUAUUUAUACCAAUCAAGCCAAGUUUGGCUACUCAGUUUUUCAGAUGAGAAUUUGCUGUUAGUCUAAAAUAGUGUUAGGGGAAAGAAACACUAUUAUGAUCACUAUAGAAAAAUGGAAUCUGAGUAUCAGAAAGAAAGAAGGAGCCAUAAAACAGUAUUUGAGUUAGAAAAAUAAGUUAAAAUUCAGGAAGAGUGUCCCCCCCCCCCCAAAAAAAAAAGGAAAAAUGUUGAGAAACUAUUUCCACAAACACUGGAAGAAUUUGCUGACAUUGGAGUUAUGGGUUUAGCCUAGACACCUAACAUUAAAGCAGUGCUUAAGGUUUUCUUGUGCAGCCUCUGAUGCCCAUAGUUAAUAGUCUCACUGUUAAUACCUAAUAAAUAUGGUUCACCCAACACUGUAAUGGCCCUUGAAAUUCAAAACUGUGCUAUAUCACUGUGCCAUUUGAGGAAUUUCAGUUGUUUAAAAACUAGGCUACAUUCUCUCAUCAGCAAAGCCAAGGAGCAGAAAGAAGAAUAAAACAUUGCAAAGAUAAAAUAAAGUUGUUCCCCUGUCAGUAUCAAAAUAUAAACAAGUGACAAAACCCUUUUGAAAACAAAAUUAAAGGAUUGCAUAUGUGUAUUUUAAAGUCAUGGUAACUAUUCUUAUUUGCAAGUGUAUGUGUACAUGUAUGUAUAUAAUUAUAAAUGUAUUUUCAUCACCAAUUAGUUAUGGUUUAUAUUCUUCUUGUAAGUCCACUUACAAAAGAUGUAUUAUGAAAGAAACUGCCUCAUGUGAAUAAUUGUUAACAAAAACUGUAUUAUCAACUGCAGUAUGCGUAACUAUUAGCUUAUAGUUGAUACUUGUUCAUCAAAUAUUAUGAAUAUAUGUCAAAGUGUACUAUGAUAAUAUGUCAAAAUGCACACUGGUAAGUGUACUUGAACAGAUACUGGAGGAAUUUGGUUGCACCAUUUAGAGGAAAAGCGCAUGUACUAACUCCUGACCCUGCUAAGAGAGGAGGAGCGCAGCUAUGUGGGCUGGCUGUAAGAGGCCUCACUCUAUCUGUUGAAAAAAUAGUAACAGUCCUAAUGGUCACAGAACCAAACUAGAGAAAUAUAGAUAUACAAGCAAAAAAAAUGUGCAUGCAUAUACACACGAUCAUUUUUUAAUGAAAAUUUGAUUAAUGAUACAACUUCUUUUGGAAAAUUUUCUGUAAUGGUUUAUUUUUGCAUAUCUAUUCGUUGAAAUGGCCUGCUUCUUUGCCAAAGAUUUGAGUGUGUAUCUUUUCUCCAGCAAUCAAGGGCAAAAGUAUAUAUUUGGAAAAGAAUGGGCUUUACUGAGAGCUGUAGAGUAGAUUUCAGUAUGAGCUGUCUGAAAUAAAGCAAUAAUAGCAAUUUCCAUAUUUUCAUUUUUACUGUUGACCAAAGCCAAACUAUGCAAAGAUGCAGUAAAAAUAAUGCAAAAUAACUGGAAGUAUGAAACUCAAUUUUCUGUUCACUGUAAUUGAGCUUUGUAUGAAACUGCUUUUUCUCAUCUUCCUUUUUAACCCCUUCUUACUCAUAGUUACUAGCUAUAGCCAAUAGCGGAGUGAAUAGGUUUUGCAACUAACAGCUAACUGAAACUACAGGCCUGAAGACCUCAAUAUGCUUUUAAGAAUAAAAUGAGUUCAAACAAUUAAUACAGCAACUUCAAAUUCUUUGUGUAUAAGGUUACCACUCAGAUAUUAGCCAUGACCCAUCUGUAAAGAUGCAGAAAAACAGUAAAUGGUGUAUGGUAUUAUUUAGACAGUUGGUGACAGGUACUUCUAGAAUGCUGUAGAGGACCGGUUCUCUACAUGCGGUUUUGUCUCAACAUUGCUGCCGCUGCUGCUGCAAAGCCGCUGCUGCCAAGGCGCAUUGGGCAGUGCCGCGCCGACACCCCCGGGAGCCGUCCGCGAGGUAAACAAGGUGCACGAGGUAAAAAGGGCAGAAGGUCAUCUCUAGGGCAGGAACUGCACGUACUCAUUUGCCAUCUGCGCAUGAGCAGGAGACCCCCAGAUGCCCCAGCCCGUUUCUGGAAGGUUCCGAGAGGGCGGACUGCGCAUGACAGUUAAUCUGCAUGGGAAGCGAGGAAGCACCUCCCGGAGGUGGGGCAAGAACCUGUAAAAACUGCAGACUGCGUGAAUAGAGGGGGGGAUUUGUUUGCGACGAGUGAGGAACUUGAACGGAGUCAGCGGAACCAGACGGGAGCUUCCCGCCGCUGGCCCCCCCCCCCGCCACCGAGACUCCCAAGAGAAGAGGACCAACGGGACGCCUCUGGAUCCACGGGUCAGAGGAGCAGCCAGUUUUUUACUGUUGUUCCACUGGAGGCACAGUUUUUGAGUGAACGUAGGAGGCAGAAGAAACAGAAAUGGCGCUCUACAAAAAUCUAACAUAGAAGAACUUGAUUUGAGGAACUGAAUAAUUCUUGAUUGUUCACAACUGAACGCACCAAACAACAUUUGCUGUCUAUCACUUCACCAUAACUCCCUCAUGGAAGGAGGAAUUCAGAUAAAGAAAAGAUUUUAUUUCUUCUCAUGUUAUGUAGUCUAAAGGCAAUAAAAGCAUUGUCUCUAUUGGUAUAGGAACUGGGGAACCCAUUACCUUCACUGCAACUCCCAUUUUUGAAUUCAUUUUGCCCUCUCUGUUGGUCAGAAAAAAAAUCAAGUUUCAGAAUUUUGGUUACAUCAUAGUUACUCAGAUAAAAGCUACAGAGCAGGUGUACCUAUAUAAUUCAUAAACAAACUGAAAUGAUACUGUAAAAUGCAAUGGAGACACUUCUAAAGCCAAAGGUGUCUUUUAAAGUAUCUGUAUUAUGUAAACUGAAAUGAAAAAGUUGUUUACCUCUAUGACAUCCUGUGGCUAUCACAUGGUAUGAAAAAAGGGGUAAGCUGGUUAGGUGUUUUAAUUGUAUCUGUGAACGCAUCUCAAUUUUUUUUUUCUGUUUGACUGUGAAUUUUCUUCAUUGAACUGGUUUGUUUGAGACUGCUGUUGUUAUAGUUUUAAGUUACGUCAGUCUUACUUUGGUCCUAACAUUUUUUUUCUGGGAAUAAUGAAAUGAGUUUCAUAUCCACCAAAGUGCAGAGGAAUCUAGAGAUACUGUGUAUAUACUUAUCAAUAAUGCACUUUUCUACAUUCUUAAGAGAUCAUAUUCCCAUAGGCAAUUACAGUUAAUUCAAAGCAACUGUAACACACACACACACACACACACACACACACAACUCUCUUUUCUCAGGGCUCUUGUCAAAAUAGGUAUGACCAUUACAAAUCAGAACUUGUGUAUUUUAUAGUAGCUAAUAAGAAUGCAGAAUUGACAAGCUAGUGAGCAUAUUUAAUUACUAUCAGGAAAAACUACAGUCAGAAAGUUCCCUUUAAUUUGCUAAUUAACCUAUCUUGAGUUACUGGUUUAAGCUUAUGUUUAGCUCAGGUCAUGUGUCCUGGAGAACAGAAAGCAUCUUCUAUUUAACAUUAUGUCAACUCUGCUGACUCUCAGAGUCAAGGAAAAACAGGAACAACUUUCACAAAACAUCUGUAAUGGAAGCAAAUGAAUCAAUACAUUUUUUUCUGUUGCUGUCACAGGGAGUUUUGCCAUUAACUUCAAUGGGAGUAGAAUGCAUUUUUCACAUGUGCUACUGAAUCAUGAUCAAUGUCUAAAUGUAGCUGAGGGCUUGGUUCCACCUAAACACAUAUAGGGAAUUUUACUCAAGUGAAUAAUUCCAUUUAAUUGGGACCUCAUGUAAAGAAGCAUUUUGGCCUUUAUUUUGCCACUGCAGAUUCAUUUAUGUACAAGUAUAAUACAAUAAAAGCAUACAUACAAAGCAAAUACUAAUACAUCUUGGAAUAUAAUGUAGAUUAACUGUUAAAUUGUCAUUGCUAAAAUCAGUGGCUUUAUGUUAAAAGUUUAAUAUUGUACCGUUUGCCAUUUAUUUCAACCCAUGCAGCUUAAAUUCUUCAGCUGUAACUGUAUACCUGAUUAGCUACAACCAUAUCAGGAAAUACAUUUGUGCUACAGCUGACUAUAUUUUGAUGCUCUUUAUGAAGUUAUACUGGUAAUAUUCACUUCAUGAUCCUGUAUCUGAAAAUGUUUUAACGCUUUUUCACUAUUCGCAUGAGCAAUAUUGCCUGCUGGCACAGUGCAGUCCUGCUGUCUUUGAAACACACGCCAACUGAAAAUGCAGAGUUUACUUUCUGUGGUUUGCAAACUUUUUCAGAGUACUUUAUAAUAAAGUGAGUCUUACAGAUAACCUCACCUCCUGAGGGCACUCUCAUAACAUCCUCUGGCAACUACUGUAGUGACUUAAAUGGAGAAACAAUAUUAGGCCUGACCAACAUUGCGUAUUUUGAAGCAUGAGGCCAGUAUGGAGCAGUGGAAGAAAGCUAGUGACACAUUAAGAAUUCAGUAAUUCAAAUGCAAAGGAAAUUGGAAGACUCCA